UAAAAUCCACAGAACAAUUUCCAGCUCCUGCCUUUAAUCUUCUGAAAACAAAAACAGCCUCCUUUUCAUUUGCUCCUCGCCAGCCCGCGGCCGGCCUUCCUAGAAACCAGUAACUAUGGCAACAGGUCAACACUGUGAUUCAGCAGCAGUGAGGAAACAAGCCGAUUUGAAAAAGAAGGAAACGACGCUCUGAACACUGAUUACAUGUGAAUCACAUUCAGGGUCUGAUGAACCUGGACAUCCCAUGUCAGCAGUUUGAGCUCCACGUGCUGAUUCAGCUGCUGAAGACAUCUGACAACACGAUCAGUUACCAAGACCUGAGCAGAUGAGUACAGAUGCUGAGGCGAAUCAAACUGGUUUCUGCAUCUGUGUUUCUUGAGUACAUUCUUAUUUUUCUGUUUGCUUUUAUCAUGGGAUUGUUUUUAUCCUCAGCGACAGCACAGAGAUCCACACUCAGAUAGCAGAGGAUUUUAGAAGAACUCAAGCAGCAGCAGCUGAGACACAGAGCGCCACCUGUUUGGAAAGUCAACAUCAGCAGAGACUGUUAAACACUAAAAACCACAGCAGGUGUCCACUGAAGAUCUCAGUUAAUCCCUAAUUACAUGACAUCUCCAUUUACUGCACCCUAAUACUUCUAGUCACCGUUUACUGGGGACCACUAGAUUUAAAUAACUGUCUAAGAAUGCCAGUUCACUAUGUAUUAUUUUAAGUGCAUUUUGAAUGCAAGUCUUUUAUUUAUAAAGGAGUGUUUUCUUCAUUUCUGCACUGGUACAUUUAAACAUAUAAAUACUUCCUCCACUGCUGGUAAGUACAGACAUGAAGCCACAAAUUCCCCCUGACUUGUUUUUAGAGUUAAUGGGAGGAGCUGGUGGUGACCUAAUGUAAAAAAUAUAAUAAAACCAGACAGACAUCAGCCAUGUCCUAAAGAAAAGCUUCUGUGGCUUCAAGUGGAGCAAACUGGGCAGAUCUUGACAAACUCAAUCAGGCUAAGAUGACAUUAAGACCAAACCUCGAUGUGUGAGGUUAACCAGGCCGAGUUAUUCCUGACCCACAGCUCUCAGCAGUAAAUCACUCGGUGACUCCUCUAAUGCCUGCAAUCAGACGCCCAAAAUUACAACUUCAGGACACAAGAAGCCUCAACAGCUCUGCAAACAAAGGAGCUCAACCUUUGCUUGGCCUGCGGACAGGUGGUGUUGCUUUUUCUGACCUGGCUGCUGUAAUUGUUUUUUGUGUGGGACACAAUGAUGUUUUAACAGGUCAUUUCAGCUUUUUUGGAAGGUAAACAUUCAAACAUUUUCAUGUUUUAGCUGUUCUAUCUUUGGGAUUGUUGCACUGUUGGUUGGAUAAAAUAAGACACCUGAAGACUUCCCAUAUGUAAGUGCUGUUGUUGAUGUUAUUUAAACCAGUGGUGAAAUAAUUGAGAAUAUAUAACAUACUGAUUUAUGUUAAUGCAGAAUUAAAAGUGUCAAAACUACAUAAAUGAAUACAGUUUUUUAAAGACGGUCAGAUUUCACAGCAUUAGUGUAAACACACAUAAUACGUAGGUUGUGUAAAAGAUGCACAGCUAGAAACAGCCAUGUGGUAUGAAAUCACAUUUUUACUCUCACUAACCGGCAGGUUCAUCCGUCUCAAUGUCACACUCGUGCACUUCGACUUGUCUACAGCCCAUCCAGGAAACUUUGAGGUAGUUGUGUUGAGCAGCUGCAGAGUUUAGGGCCUGAUCAGGAUGAUCCAGGACCGAGUCAGGAUCAAGACCUCUAAGAUGGAUGUUUUUCAGAGCAGGGUGCCCACGGAGGAGGCCCGCCUGCCCCUGGAGAGCUCCCUGGAGGAGUGUGGCUUUAAAGGAGGGCCAGAGGAAAGUCCGCCAGAGGCCACAGUGUACUACGACUGCUACUGUUUCCAGACUGUCCCAUCCUCAACUGUGACCACUACUUCCAGUCUAAGCCAGAUUCUGCUGCCAUGAGGACUGGACAAUGUCUGUAGAUUACACAACCCUGGUACUUUCUAGACAGUCAGCAGCAUGCAGCUACACAGCUGUGUUGAAUCAGGUCAUUAUCUUUAAUUGUCUUGUAAAUGGGUCAGAGCACCUCACCUUACUUGCUCUGAAGAUGUUUCUCCACUUCUGAACACUGAGCAGCUUCAACAUACAAAUACUACAGUAAACAAUCAGGAAUAUUUAAAGGUCUUAAAGGAGAAUUUAUGUCAGAAAGCUGCAGGGAGCUUCAUAUUCAGCACCUUGUGGCCUGUUUACACUUAAAUUACACACUCGGGGAUGUAAUUUAAGGCAGAGUGUGCAAAUCUUUACACCAGUACAAAGCAGUGCUUUCAAUCAGGGCCUCAGGGGGCCACAGAGGCUGAACUGUGCCAUGCUGGAGACAGUGGAAAGUGCCUGGCUAGUGGAAACCACAGAGCGGCUAUAAACAGCGGCCACUAAAGCGUGCCAUGCAGCCGACACACCCAGCAGCUUCUCUGCUGCUCCACCCAGCUCAGCUUUUAGAUCCCAGCUGCAAAUGUGUUUCAGUCUGAACCAUGAUGUUGUCGCUGUUUGUUAGCAUGAAAAGAUGUGCAAAGCUGUCAAAGUCAAAAUAGUAUUUAUUCCAUACAAUACUGCCAAAUAUAAAUAUUACAAAACAGAAUAGUUUGAGUGAAUUUUAACACUGUUUACACAAAGGAAGAAAACACAAAAAGACUUCAGGUGAUUCCUGCAGCAGUUUGUUGCAUUAAAAUAUCUCCUGGUAUUUGUUUUUAAUCAGCCGCAUUCUGAUGAGCAGCUUUAUAAUUCAUUAAACCUGCAGUACAUACACUAUUAGUACUGUUUGUGUGUAGAGAUGACAGACGGAAGCAGAAAAAGCUGAACAUUAUAACAAAUGUUUUCUUUGUAUUUUUCUAUAUACAGUAGAAUAUAUGUCUCUAAACUAUAAGGAAGUGUGUUGUUUUAGCUGUAAGAGUGUGUUUUUGCUCUUGUCUUGCUCUUGACUUUACAGUUAUUAUGUUUAUUAUUUCCAGCAUAUAUUCUUGUAAAGCAUCAGUUAUAAGUAAGAGGAAGACUCGACUCUUCAGCAAGGAAAUAAUGCACUGUGAUUGGCUGUAGUGUGGAAAACUGAGCCAUAAUUAUAGCAGCAACAAUGAGAUGAAUAAUUGAUUUUCAAACAAAAAUGUCCCUAUCUGAUGCUCUUAAAUGUCCCUUUGUCACAUUUUAUUCAUUUUACAUUAAAGUACACUGAAUAUUUGUUUUUUUUAGAUUCAUGCAGGUUAAUCGAUAAUGAAAAUAAUCAUGAUUUUUGAUUGUUCGCUUUAUUCAAAAGACCAAGCAAUAGACUCCUUGGACUCAUGAAUUUCGAUUUAAAUUUGACUGCUGCCAUAACAGAAUAAUAUUAUCAACCUUCCGAGGUUGCUCCGUUCGUCAACAACUGGAAAACCACCCAGGUGCAACUUUUGCUUGUUAUCUGAGGCUUUAGGCAACAAGUCCGAAGAAACCAAAAAUGUUGAAAAAUGAAUAAAAUGCUACAAAUUCAAAUUUCAA